GUCCUAAAUUCCCUUAACAUGCAAGUCGAACGGCAGCACGGACUUCGGUCUGGUGGCGAGUGGCGAACGGGUGAGUAAUGUAUCGGAACGUGCCCAGUAGCGGGGGAUAACUACGCGAAAGCGUAGCUAAUACCGCAUACGCCCUACGGGGGAAAGCAGGGGAUCGCAAGACCUUGCACUAUUGGAGCGGCCGAUAUCGGAUUAGCUAGUUGGUGGGGUAACGGCUCACCAAGGCGACGAUCCGUAGCUGGUUUGAGAGGACGACCAGCCACACUGGGACUGAGACACGGCCCAGACUGCUACGGGAGGCAGCAGUGGGGAAUUUUGGACAAUGGGGGAAACCCUGAUCCAGCCAUCCCGCGUGUGCGAUGAAGGCCUUCGGGUUGUAAAGCACUUUUGGCAGGAAAGAAACGUCGCGGGUUAAUACCCCGCGAAACUGACGGUACCUGCAGAAUAAGCACCGGCUAACUACGUGCCAGCAGCCGCGGUAAUACGUAGGGUGCAAGCGUUAAUCGGAAUUACUGGGCGUAAAGCGUGCGCAGGCGGUUCGGAAAGAAAGAUGUGAAAUCCCAGAGCUUAACUUUGGAACUGCAUUUUUAACUACCGGGCUAGAGUGUGUCAGAGGGAGGUGGAAUUCCGCGUGUAGCAGUGAAAUGCGUAGAAAUGCGGAGGAACACCGAUGGCGAAGGCAGCCUCCUGGGAUAACACUGACGCUCAUGCACGAAAGCGUGGGGAGCAAACAGGAUUAGAUACCCUGGUAGUCCACGCCCUAAACGAUGUCAACUAGCUGUUGGGGCCUUCGGGCCUUGGUAGCGCAGCUAACGCGUGAAGUUGACCGCCUGGGGAGUACGGUCGCAAGAUUAAAACUCAAAGGAAUUGACGGGGACCCGCACAAGCGGUGGAUGAUGUGGAUUAAUUCGAUGCAACGCGAAAAACCUUACCUACCCUUGACAUG
rnacentral:rRNA from 1 species